UAAAAAAUCCAACUGAAACCA
rnacentral:piRNA from 1 species